GACGAACGCUGGCGGCGUGCCUAAUACAUGCAAGUCGAACGGUUUAGUUCCAAGAGGCAAGACUCUUGGAACUAAGCAGUGGCGGACGGGUGAGUAACACGUAGGCAACCUACCUGUCAAACCGGGAUAACCUCGGGAAACCGAAGCUAAACCCGGAUAAGCUCCUUUUUCGCAUGAAGGGGGAGUGAAAAGGUGCGACCUGAUGACAGAUGGGCCUGCGGCGCAUUAGCUAGUAGGUAGGGUAACGGCCUACCUAGGCGAUGAUGCGUAGCCGACCUGAGAGGGCGUACGGCCACACUGGGACUGAGAUACGGCUCAGACUCCUACGGGAGGCAGCAGUAGGGAAUCUUCGGCAAUGGGCGAAAGCCUGACCGAGCAACGCCGCGUGAGUGAGGAAGGCCUUCGGGUUGUAAAACUCUGUUGUUUGGGAAGAAGGGAAAGGGUAGGACCCUUAGGUGACGGUACCAAACGAGAAAGCCCCGGCUAACUACGUG
rnacentral:rRNA from 1 species